rnacentral:rRNA from 1 species
GACGAACGCUGGCGGCGUGCUUAACACAUGCAAGUCGAACGGAAAGGCCCUGCUUUUGUGGGGUGCUCGAGUGGCGAACGGGUGCGUAACACGUGUGUAACCUGCCCUUCACUUUGGGAUAACUUCAGGAAACUGGGGCUAAUACCGGAUAGGAUCUCCUGCUGCAUGGUGGGGAUUGGAAAGUCUCGGCGGUUGGGGAUGGAUUCGCGGCUUAUCGGCUAGUUGGUGGGGUAGUGGCAUACCAAGGCUUUGACGGGUAGCCGGCCUGAGAGGGGGACCGGCCACAUUGGUACUGAGGUAGGGCGCAGACUGGAAUGGUGGGCAGUGGUGGGGAGUAUGGCACAACGAGAAGGAGCCUGUUGCGACAACGCCGCGUUCGUGAAGACGGCCUGCGGGUUAUGAACAGCAGUAGCCUGAGACGAAGCGGUAGUGACGGUAAUGGGUGAAGAAGCACCGGCUAACUACGUG